rnacentral:rRNA from 1 species
GGGUGAGUAACACGUGAGCAACCUACCUUUGACACGGGGAUAGCCUCGGGAAACCGUGAUUAAUACCCAAUAACAUCCCAUUUUCACAAGAAGAAGAGAUCAAAGAGAACUCGGUCAAAGAUGGGCUCGCGUCUGAUUAGCCAGUUGGUAGGGUAAAAGCCUACCAAAGCAACGAUCAGUAGCCGGCCUGAGAGGGUGAACGGCCACAUUGGAACUGAGAAACGGUCCAAACUCC